rnacentral:lncRNA from 10 species
GUCUCCUGCAAUUGAUUUCUUCAGAGUCCAUGGCUAAUUCUUUAGGAUACCCUAAUCGUGGUGACAACUUAGUGCAUCGCAUAAACCUGAAUUUGCCAUUUUCCCAACCUGAAAGCAAGGGUGGCCAGGCCACCCAGGGCAAUGGUGAAUGGUGGGUGAGAGGCAGAGCCCCUCUCCAAUAAACAACCUGGACUGUUUAUUGGGUUUUUGACCAACAAGACCUCAGGGAAAUUCCGGGAGCCUGAGGUUGGCAGAGACACAUAGAGGGGUGUGCCCUGUUGUCACUGACCAAUGGCAGAUGUGCCCUUACUCUGAACGCCAUCAAGAACACCUCUGUAAUAAUUUUCCUGUCCUCAUUAAGUUUGAGUUUGCAAGGAGACUCUUGCAAGCCAAGUUAAAUAUUCUGAGGCUUUAUGUCUGAGAUUCAGGUGGCUGCCACCCUGAGAGGGGAAAUGCCUGGCAUUAGAGCUUCUCCCACACAACAAGGUGGGAGUGCGGAUUUCCUUCCAGAGAAAUCACCAUAACUCAGCCAAUAUUGUAAUUAAAAUAGCAGUCAUAUAAAGAAAAAAGAUAAAGCAACUUGAACACUCAUAAGUACAAGGCUCAACAAUAAGAUACACUAUGUAUUUACAUAUUUUACUACAGUAUGACAGUUUAAAGAAAUAAAAAGUAUAGUUUUAAAAUGGGAAGAGCAAUGGGGAGAUGGUGAUACUUUUAAUCUUUAUACGUCUUUUCUAUUUCUCUAGCAAUAUAAAUCAUAUUUUUAUAGAAAAUCAUCAAAUAUGAACCCAUUUACAACACAAUAAUGAUAACAAAACAAUGGUCUCACACUCUGCUGCUGGCUGAAUGUGUUUUUCUGUGGCACAAAUGUACCUGGUGUACUUGUCUAGCUACGCUUCCUUCUUUGGAAGUUCCUUUGUGUAGGGCAUACAUCCAUUCUGGUUUAUUCAGGAAAGUCCCAGCUUAUGCCUGUUGGCCUUGGGGAAGAGUGUCCCUUUCACUCUCUAAAAUGCCUAAGUUUCAUUGAUAUUAUGAUACAGUCACCCCAGCCAUAAGCCUUGAUGAAUAAAUAGACCUAGGAAGACAUGUUCUUCCCUGGUGAUCUGCUUUUAUGUCCACAUCGGGUUGAAUCCCUCAUGAACCUCUGUCCAAAGCAGAGCCAAUUGGAGUCCCUCUCUCAACAAUUUGGACUGAGUCACUAAGGUCAAGCCAAGCAGAUUUGAACAAUGGAGUUGAGGUCAGGUGGAGCAGUGGCCAGAUCUGUUAUGACAACAACCUAAAGGCAUAUUUGCAUGUCAUUAUUAUGGGGGUAAAGGAGUCAAAGGCUUUGGAAGGGAGACAACAGGGAGAAGGAGGUCCUGUUUUCUUGUCAUUAAUGGGUCAGACAUCACCACUGGGCUGCUGAGAAGCAUGGCUUUUAUUAUUCCCCAUCCCUUCUUCCCAUAGCUAUCAAAGGCCAACUAGGAGUGGAAUAAAACUGCCUAUAUAAGGGAGUGUUAUGUGGCCCCCCACACCAUUCUCCCUUCCCCUUCCCAGGGGCUUCUGCUCUCUUUGAAGUCAAAGGAUGGAGCACCACUCAUACAUUUUUAUGCAGACUCUUGAAAGUAAAUCCAACUGCAGAAGGAGUUGUGCUUUUCAUUUCCUGGUGGUGGCAUCCAGUCACCAGGCUUGAGAGCCCAUAUCUGGGCUACUACAGCAGCAGAAAGAGAUGGCAUGGUGUGCUACCAGGCAGCAACAAAGACUGUCCCUCUGGGGUUCCUGGUUCCUGAGAGGAUGGAAAACAGAUCCUGUACACAUCAUGGGCCCCAGAUUUGGGGUUAGGAAGGGUAACUGGGACUUGGUUCAACAGUCUUGCCAGAGACCAAAGGAGUUCGGGGCAUCAGAGCAAGUGGAUGAACCCAUUGGCUGGAGGACAAGUGAAAGAUGUGGCCUAGUCUCCAGGAGACCACCUAUGCCUAGAAGAGUUUUUUGUCAGCAUGGCUGUUGGAGCUACCACUUGACCAGGUUGAGUUCAUAGAUAAUGAACGAAGUCAGCAGUUACUACCAACCAAGGUGAUGUCUGAAAGCUCACUGUGACAUUCACAUACUAGAUACACACCUUCUCUUUCUCUGCUCUCCAUUCCAACACAAGAGGAGAGAACAGGAGGAAGGAAGCAUGUGAGAGAGACUGUGUCUCACUGUUCACCCCUGGCCAAUCCAGUCAAGCUCCAUGCAUAGUCUUCCUUGAGGCUGAGAAGGUGGAAGGAGAAGCACUACCCCUUGAAUAUGGAAUUGGAGAUUUAAUAUUGACAGCACUGACUCUUAGAGAACUGAAACGAGACAGGAAAGGCAUGCUGCCCUUUUGGGUGUUGCUAAGAGUGUCCCCACCAGGGGAAAAGGGUAGUUCGACAGAGUCCAGUUGGUAACAGACACUCGAUAAAAGAAUCCGUUUUAUGUUUAUUAUCUAAUGAAUCAAGAUUCCUCAUUAAAUCAGUUUGUGGAGAGAAUGUUAGAGGCUUCCUCUAACUCAGCAACUGUCUUUCCUGAAAAUCCUAGCUCCCAGUACACGGAGCUGCCACCGUGAAGCUUCAGUUUCCCUGCCACCUGACACCAUGGUGACUGCUCCCCACUUCCAGUGGAAAUGUGUCACAGAAGCCGCUAAUGUGAGUAAAAUCAGAUGCACAACUUUAAUAUACAACAGUUGCCACCCCCGAUACAUGUGGCAUGGUUCAGGUACCAAAAGUCUGUUAGACUCUGAACCCAAAACAUAAUUGCAAGAUUUUUACAAUGUUUUAAAUUAAGCUGGUCCACUUAACUAUGGCAUCAGAGUCCGGCCAUCAAAUAUUGCAACAAAUGGCUCCAUAUAACUCCUAUCUAACAGCAAAGGAACAUUGGAAGAUUGUGUGAUUGAGAUACUCGGGCAUUUGUACCUGUGCAGGAGGUGCACAGCCCUGGGCAGGAACAGGUGAGAGUCUUCACCUGGAACAUACUUAGAAGAUAACUCAUGUUCCCAGAAGAGACAGAACAUGGGAAGGUAGCUGCCUGAUUAUGACUUGCCAGGCCUUUUAAGACUUCCUGACACCAGCUUUCCUGACAUUUCUUUAAUAGAAAUAAAUCCCUUUUUACUUGGGUCUGGACUAAAGCAUACUAAUAGUUGCACUCAGAUAAAGGAGAAUUAUUGUCGUUGUAAUUCUGAGGACAGGAUAUUGGUGCAACCUUAGAGGUGGUUUUAGACUAUUCCCUUCUUCUGCUCUAGUGAAGAAUUUGGCACUCAUUAGUUUAGG